GUGGUGUAAGAAAAGGAGAGAAGGUUAGACUCCCCUUUGCAAGGGACGAAAGAAUCCAUGGUGGUCUUCCAACCACAUAAGGCAAACCGCCCUACUUCGGGCGGCCAAGUUUUUUU
rnacentral:ncRNA from 1 species